AAUAAAAUAAAAUCCGAUAUAGAAACAACCACCAACUGACUCGAUAUCUCAGAAUUUUUCUGGUAAAAGAAAACGAUGACUUGGUUGGGUGCUUCCUCUUCUUCUUCCCCAUGGAUUCUCAGGAACUCGCUUCUCACAACCUCUUCAUCUUCUUCUUCCUCUUCAAAAUUCUCGAAAUACCAAUCAUCCCCUCGCCCUCUUCGCCUCUCGUGCCGCUCCCAAUCCGACGUCGGCAGUGACUUCAAUUUCGUGCUCCACGAUGCUCUCGAUUCUUCCGGAACCCUCACCUCCCUCGCCAGAGAGGCCAGGGAGGGGUUCUGCUCACAAAUUCGCCAUCUGUCUGAUAUAGAGAGGGAAACCAGCAUUACCAUCAAUAGAUGUGUUGAUUUGGGGAAAACAGCUCUUUACAUUGCAGCAGAAGAUGACUCCCUUGUGUCACAUUCUUCAGUUCCGCUUCCGGUGGAUGCUUUUAUUAGUAGGUUUGGUGAUCUUUCCAUGGACUAUUGUUCUCACUACAACUCUUCAUUUAGAUCCUCGCCUGAGAAAUUGUUGGAGAGUUUGGAAAACUAUUUGUACGUAAAUAAGGGUUUUCGAAGGACAAUUGCAAGGUAUCACUCUGAAUCACGGGCUCUAUAUAUCCACUCGGUUUUGACACAUCGUUCAGGAUCACCUGCAAUGCUUUCACUCAUAUACUCAGAAAUUUUGAAAAUGCUUCGCCUAUGGGGUUUUUUGGAUUUCGAUGUGGAGAUAUUCUUUCCUCAUGAUCUUCAUAGUCUUCCCAGAGGUUAUCAUAAACAGAAAAGCAAGGAAUCUGAUAAUGUGCACAUAAUGACUUCGCAAGCCCUUUUAGUGGAGAUUUUAAGAAAUUUGAAGGACGCAUUCUGGCCGUUUCAGCAUGAUCAACCAGGGAAUUUGUUCUUGAGGGCAGCACGUGCUGCUAACUUUAUUGAUAGAUCAAACAUAAAUGAAGACAGUGGCUUUCAGCUUGCAUCUGCGAAGGCUGCUCAACAUAGACUAGAUCGUGGUGUUUGGACUAGUGUACAUUUUGGGGAUAUGAGGCGUGCCCUAUCUGCUUGUGAACGUCUUAUUCUCCUAGAAGCAGAUCCGAAGGAAUUAAGAGAUUACAGCAUUCUUCUCUACCAUUGUGGAUUUUAUGAGGAAUCACUUGAAUAUCUAAAGUUGUAUCAGGACAAAAAGGGUUGUCCACUACGGAGGCGACCGUCUGAUUCGUUAACCGUUUUGGAGGAAGAUGCCGCAGAGAAAUUGAUGAUACGCCUUAACCUAAUUCUGAUGGAGGAUGGUUGGAGCAGGCCGUCAUAUAUUAGAAACUUUCUUGGUAACAACUCUGAACCAUGGUAGUCUUCGUAUAUAUUAUUGCAGAUAGCAGUACAAACCCAAAUCAAUAGGAGGUUCAUGUAAACUGGCAAAGCGGCACUUUAAGUGAACUUCUUCCUGGAAAAGUUUUGCUAGACAUGCGGUGUUUUCUAUCCGUAUAUAACAAGAUGAACAAAACCGGAGAUAUGAGUCCUGCCACAUUCUGCAUAUUCCUAUUGGUGCCAGUUUUUUAUGUAGUAAUUGUAUUGAGUGACCAGAUCAUCAGUAAAUUUGAAUGCCGGAAUAUUGGAAGAAUGAACCGGCAAAAUGUACGACAGCGGAGCUAGUAAGGGGUCUAUUAUCUGCUUGUGAUACUCUCAUGUAAAUUGAUGUAUAUAACAAAUUGUUACCUCAUUUGUGAUUGAGUAAUAAUAAAAUUAUGUGGAAUCAUAUAUCUACAUAAUGUGUAAAUCUACAUGCAUGAUUCACCUAACUAAAAUUUACUCAAUAAGGAGAGAAACUUAGGGUUCGUUUCGUAACCAUUUCGAUUUCAGUUUUUAGUUCAGCAGCAUCAUGCGCCCACUCUAGAACGAUAGGAACUCUCUUGUAAGUUAUAAAGAGUGACAGGACAGACAAAUAUUAGUGGAACCUAUAAACAGUGACACAGGACAUACAAAUAUUAGUGGAACGCAUGACAAUGGUCCAUCGCACCGAUGUUUCUUUAGCAAAGUAGAAAGAAAGCACUCAUCCCUGAACACAUGACAAUAGUCCAUUGCACCGAUGUUGCUUUAGGAAAGUAGAAAGAAAGCAACCAUCACUCAUCACACCGACAAAUUUUUAACCUAAACUUUUUCCACCCACAACACAAAGCUCAACCACCAAUUCUCUCUUUAUGCUUUAACGUGUGUACUCCACUGAAUUAUUGGCCAGCUCAUUUUUUUUUCGAAGGAAUUAAAGAGAUUACAGCAUUCUUCUCUACCAUUGUGGAUUUUAUGAGGAAUCACUUGAAUAUCUAAAGUUGUAUCAGGACAAAAAGGGUUGUCCACUACGGAGGCGACCGUCUGAUUCGUUAACCGUUUUGGAGGAAGAUGCCGCAGAGAAAUUGAUGAUACGCCUUAACCUAAUUCUGAUGGAGGAUGGUUGGAGCAGGCCGUCAUAUAUUAGAAACUUUCUUGGUAACAACUCUGAACCAUGGUAGUCUUCGUAUAUAUUAUUGCAGAUAGCAGUACAAACCCAAAUCAAUAGGAGGUUCAUGUAAACUGGCAAAGCGGCACUUUAAGUGAACUUCUUCCUGGAAAAGUUUUGCUAGACAUGCGGUGUUUUCUAUCCGUAUAUAACAAGAUGAACAAAACCGGAGAUAUGAGUCCUGCCACAUUCUGCAUAUUCCUAUUGGUGCCAGUUUUUUAUGUAGUAAUUGUAUUGAGUGACCAGAUCAUCAGUAAAUUUGAAUGCCGGAAUAUUGGAAGAAUGAACCGGCAAAAUGUACGACAGCGGAGCUAGUAAGGGGUCUAUUAUCUGCUUGUGAUACUCUCAUGUAAAUUGAUGUAUAUAACAAAUUGUUACCUCA